rnacentral:rRNA from 1 species
GAUGAACGCUGACAGAAUGCUUAACACAUGCAAGUCAACUUGAAUUUGGGUUUUUUAACUUAGAUUUGGGUGGCGGACGGGUGAGUAACGCGUAAAGAACUUGCCUCACAGCUAGGGACAACAUUUGGAAACGAAUGCUAAUACCUGAUAUUAUGAUUAUAAGGCAUCUUAGAAUUAUGAAAGCUAUAUGCGCUGUGAGAGAGCUUUGCGUCCCAUUAGCUAGUUGGAGAGGUAACGGCUCACCAAGGCGAUGAUGGGUAGCCGGCCUGAGAGGGUGAACGGCCACAAGGGGACUGAGACACGGCCCUUACUCCUACGGGAGGCAGCAGUGGGGAAUAUUGGACAAUGGACCAAGAGUCUGAUCCAGCAAUUCUGUGUGCACGAUGACGUUUUUCGGGAUGUAAAGUGCUUUCAGUUGGGAAGAAAAAAAUGACGGUACCAACAGAAGAAGUGACGGCUAAAUACGUG